rnacentral:lncRNA from 1 species
GGUUCACAGAAGCAGCCUCGGCUGUAGCCAGAAGCAGGAGCCUUAGCGCAUGGAAUGUCCAGUACAACCUCAGCCACAGAGCCUGAUGUUCUGAGCACCGUUCCCUGCCCACUUUCUCUAUGAACCUGACCUAGGGGGAGUUGGCCACCUCAUCAUGUCACCCAGAACCUGGUGAAAUAGUAAUGCAUGAGAAUGUCAGCGCUGAAAAAGGUCAUUGUAGCCCAGCUCCCGUAUGUCUGUGGCUUCUCUGAGGUGAGGUGGUGGUGACUUCCCGGAAGGGCUUCGAAUUUGGAUUCUGUGACUUAUCCGUGGAGGUUGCCUCUUGCAUUGAUUAAAAA